rnacentral:ncRNA from 2 species
UGAAUUGUCGUGGGGUGGUUCCUGAAGGGAGCCUGAGAUUAUACCCGUUGAACCUGAUCUGGGUAAUGCCAGCGAAGGGAACCAAGACGAAUAAUCAA